rnacentral:rRNA from 1 species
UUAAGCGACUAAGCGUACACGGUGGAUGCCCUGGCAGUCAGAGGCGAUGAAGGACGUGCUAAUCUGCGAAAAGCGUCGGUAAGGUGAUAUGAACCGUUACAGCCGGCGAUGUCCGAAUGGGGAAACCCAGUGCAAUUCGUUGCACUAUCGUUAACUGAAUACAUAGGUUAGCGAGGCGAACCGGGGGAACUGAAACAUCUAAGUACCCCGAGGAAAAGAAAUCAACCGAGAUUCCCCCAGUAGCGGCGAGCGAACGGGGAGCAGCCCAGAGUCUGAAUCAGCUUGUGUGUUAGUGGAACGGUCUGGAAAGUCCGACGGUACAGGGUGAUAGUCCCGUACACCAAAAUGCACAGGUUGUGAACUCGAAGAGUAGGGCGGGACACGUGGUAUCCUGUCUGAAUAUGGGGGGACCAUCCUCCAAGGCUAAAUACUCCUGACUGACCGAUAGUGAACCAGUACCGUGAGGGAAAGGCGAAAAGAACCCCGGCGAGGGGAGUGAAAAAGAACCUGAAACCGUGUACGUACAAGCAGUGGGAGCACCUUCGGGUGUGACUGCGUACCUUUUGUAUAAUGGGUCAGCGACUUAUAUUCUGUAGCAAGGUUAACCGUAUAGGGGAGCCGCAGGGAAACCGAGUCUUAACUGGGCGUUAAGUUGCAGGGUAUAGACCCGAAACCCGGUGAUCUAGCCAUGGGCAGGUUGAAGGUUGGGUAACACUAACUGGAGGACCGAACCGACUAAUGUUGAAAAAUUAGCGGAUGACUUGUGGCUGGGGGUGAAAGGCCAAUCAAACCGGGAGAUAGCUGGUUCUCCCCGAAAGCUAUUUAGGUAGCGCCUCGUGAAUUCAUCUUCGGGGGUAGAGCACUGUUUCGGCUAGGGGGUCAUCCCGACUUACCAACCCGAUGCAAACUACGAAUACCGAAGAAUGUUAUCACGGGAGACACACGGCGGGUGCUAACGUCCGUCGUGAAGAGGGAAACAACCCAGACCGCCAGCUAAGGUCCCAAAGUCAUGGUUAAGUGGGAAACGAUGUGGGAAGGCACAGACAGCCAGGAUGUUGGCUUAGAAGCAGCCAUCAUUUAAAGAAAGCGUAAUAGCUCACUGGUCGAGUCGGCCUGCGCGGAAGAUGUAACGGGGCUAAACCAUGCACCGAAGCUGCGGCAGCGACACUAUGUGUUGUUGGGUAGGGGAGCGUUCUGUAAGCCUGCGAAGGUGACCUGUGAGGGUUGCUGGAGGUAUCAGAAGUGCGAAUGCUGACAUAAGUAACGAUAAAGCGGGUGAAAAGCCCGCUCGCCGGAAGACCAAGGGUUCCUGUCCAACGUUAAUCGGGGCAGGGUGAGUCGACCCCUAAGGCGAGGCCGAAAGGCGUAGUCGAUGGGAAACAGGUUAAUAUUCCUGUACUUGGUGUUACUGCGAAGGGGGGACGGAGAAGGCUAUGUUAGCCGGGCGACGGUUGUCCCGGUUUAAGCAUGUAGGCUGGUUGUCCAGGCAAAUCCGGAUAAUCAAGGCUGAGGUGUGAUGACGAGGCACUACGGUGCUGAAGUAACAAAUGCCCUGCUUCCAGGAAAAGCCUCUAAGCAUCAGGUAACAUUAAAUCGUACCCCAAACCGACACAGGUGGUCAGGUAGAGAAUACCAAGGCGCUUGAGAGAACUCGGGUGAAGGAACUAGGCAAAAUGGUGCCGUAACUUCGGGAGAAGGCACGCUGGUGUGUAGGUGAAGCCCCUGCGGGUGGAGCUGAGACCAGUCGAAGAUACCAGCUGGCUGCAACUGUUUAUUAAAAACACAGCACUGUGCAAACACGAAAGUGGACGUAUACGGUGUGACGCCUGCCCGGUGCCGGAAGGUUAAUUGAUGGGGUUAUCCGUAAGGAGAAGCUCUUGAUCGAAGCCCCGGUAAACGGCGGCCGUAACUAUAACGGUCCUAAGGUAGCGAAAUUCCUUGUCGGGUAAGUUCCGACCUGCACGAAUGGCGUAAUGAUGGCCAGGCUGUCUCCACCCGAGACUCAGUGAAAUUGAACUCGCUGUGAAGAUGCAGUGUACCCGCGGCAAGACGGAAAGACCCCGUGAACCUUUACUAUAGCUUGACACUGAACAUUGAGCCUUGAUGUGUAGGAUAGGUGGGAGGCUUUGAAGCGUGGACGCCAGUCUGCGUGGAGCCAACCUUGAAAUACCACCCUUUAAUGUUUGAUGUUCUAACGUUGGCCCCUUACCGGGGUUGCGGACAGUGUCUGGUGGGUAGUUUGACUGGGGCGGUCUCCUCCCAAAGCGUAACGGAGGAGCACGAAGGUUAGCUAAUCCUGGUCGGACAUCAGGAGGUUAGUGCAAUGGCAUAAGCUAGCUUGACUGCGAGCGUGACGGCGCGAGCAGGUGCGAAAGCAGGUCAUAGUGAUCCGGUGGUUCUGAAUGGAAGGGCCAUCGCUCAACGGAUAAAAGGUACUCCGGGGAUAACAGGCUGAUACCGCCCAAGAGUUCAUAUCGACGGCGGUGUUUGGCACCUCGAUGUCGGCUCAUCACAUCCUGGGGCUGAAGUAGGUCCCAAGGGUAUGGCUGUUCGCCAUUUAAAGUGGUACGCGAGCUGGGUUUAGAACGUCGUGAGACAGUUCGGUCCCUAUCUGCCGUGGGCGCUGGAGAAUUGAGGGGGGCUGCUCCUAGUACGAGAGGACCGGAGUGGACGCAUCACUGGUGUUCGGGUUGUCAUGCCAAUGGCACUGCCCGGUAGCUAAAUGCGGAAGAGAUAAGUGCUGAAAGCAUCUAAGCACGAAACUUGCCCCGAGAUGAGUUCUCCCUGAGACUUUAAGUCUCCUGAAGGAACGUUGAAGACGACGACGUUGAUAGGCUGGGUGUGUAAGCGCAGCGAUGCGUUGAGCUAACCGGUACUAAUGAACCGUGAGGCUUAACCUU